rnacentral:rRNA from 1 species
UACGUAGGGUGCGAGCGUUAAUCGGAAUUACUGGGCGUAAAGUGUGCGCAGGCGGCCGAGCAAGUCGAGUGUGAAAGCCCCGAGCUUAACUUGGGAACUGCGCUCGAAACUACUUGGCUAGAGUGUGGCAGAGGGAGGUGGAAUUCCUCGUGUAGCGGUGAAAUGCGUAGAGAUGUGGAGGAACACCGAUGGCGAAGGCAGCCUCCUGGGCCAACACUGACGCUCAUGCACGAAAGCGUGGGGAGCAAACAGG